rnacentral:rRNA from 1 species
GUCUAUGGCCAUACUGCCCUGAACGCGCCCGAUCUCAUCUGAUCUCGGAACCUAAGCAGGGUCUGGCCUGGUUAGUACUUGGAUGGGAGGGGAGAUAUUACGUGGCACAGUGG